GGGGGCCCGCACAAGCGGGUGGGAGCAUGUGGUUUAAUUCGAUGCAACGCGAAGAACCUUACCUACUCUUGACAUCCUGCGAACUUGUGAGAGAUCACUUGGUGCCUUCGGGAGCGCAGAGACAGGUGCUGCAUGGCUGUCGUCAGCUCGUGUUGUGAAAUGUUGGGUUAAGUCCCGUAACGAGCGCAACCCUUGUCCUUAUUUGCCAGCGGGUAAUGCCGGGAACUCUAAGGAGACUGCCGGUGACAAACCGGAGGAAGGUGGGGACGACGUCAAGUCAUCAUGGCCCUUACGAGUAGGGCUACACACGUGCUACAAUGGCCGGUACAAAGGGUUGCGAGCUCGCGAGAGUCAGCUAAUCCCGAAAAGCCGGUCUCAGUCCGGAUCGGAGUCUGCAACUCGACUCCGUGAAGUCGGAAUCGCUAGUAAUCGUGAAUCAGAAUGUCACGGUGAAUACGUUCCCGGGCCUUGUACACACCGCCCGU
rnacentral:rRNA from 1 species